UACGAAGGGGGCUAGCGUUGUUCGGAAUUACUGGGCGUAAAGCGUGCGCAGGCGGCUUCUCAAGUCAGUGGUGAAAGCCCGGAGCUCAACUCCGGAAUUGCCAUUGAAACUGUGGAGCUUGAGGACGAGAGAGGUGAGUGGAAUUCCCAGUGUAGAGGUGAAAUUCGUAGAUAUUGGGAAGAACACCGGUGGCGAAGGCGGCUCACUGGCUCGUUUCGUGACGCUCAGGCACGAUAGCGUGGGGAUCAAACAGG
rnacentral:rRNA from 1 species